rnacentral:rRNA from 1 species
GUAGUCCACGCCCUAAACGAUGUCGAUUAGCUGUUGGGCAGCUUGACUGCUUAGUAGCGUAGCUAACGCGUGAAAUCGACCGCCUGGGGAGUACGGUCGCAAGAUUAAAACUCAAAGGAAUUGACGGGGACCCGCACAAGCGGUGGAUGAUGUGGAUUAAUUCGAUGCAACGCGAAGAACCUUACCUGGUCUUGACAUGUACGGAACCUUCCAGAGACGGAAGGGUGCCUUCGGGAACCGUAACACAGGUGCUGCAUGGCUGUCGUCAGCUCGUGUCGUGAGAUGUUGGGUUAAGUCCCGCAACGAGCGCAACCCUUGUCAUUAGUUGCCAUCAUUCAGUUGGGCACUCUAAUGAGACUGCCGGUGACAAACCGGA